GCCUCUUUUCUCAUUCUCUUCCAACAAGUGCUUGGAGCUACAAGAAGACCCCCUUUCCACUAUGAGCAACCAGGUGCUCUGCUGUGUGGUCCUUUGUCUCCUCGGAGCAAACACCGUGGAUGGUGGAAUCACUCAGUCCCCAAAGUACCUGUUCAGAAAGGAAGGACAGAAUGUGACCCUGAGUUGUGAACAGAAUUUGAACCACGAUGCCAUGUACUGGUACCGACAGGACCCAGGGCAAGGGCUGAGAUUGAUCUACUACUCAGAGAUAGUAAAUGACUUUCAGAAAGGAGACAUAGCUGAAGGGUACAGCGUCUCUCGGGAGAAGAAGGAAUCCUUUCCUCUCACUGUGACAUCGGCCCAAAAGAACCCGACAGCUUUCUAUCUCUGUGCCAGUAGUAUAGACACAGUGAAGCACUGA